ACAGUAGCCAGCAGCCAUGCGGUCCUUUAAAGCUUUUUGGGGAACCUUUUUGCGCACCAACAAAUAUCAAGUAUACGCCAAGCAGACAUCGGUGAACGAUGGUCAUGCGGCGAAGCAGAGAGAGAGAGAGAGAGUACAGUGGGGCGCGCCUGCGCAGCAGUUGAGACUAUUUUUAAAGCUGUUAAGCUCAUCAUCAUCAUCAUAUCAUGCCCACCCUGCCCUGUGCUUGCAUCACCCUUAGCCCUCCCCUACCUGCAGCUGUCUCAAGUCUGAGAUAUUUACAGUUCCUUCAGCCUCAGCGCCACUAAUUGUGUGCUAUUUCUGUAAGAUCAUUCUUCUUCUCACUCUACCACCACCUCUCACUCUCUUCUGUUUCUCUGCUCGGUUUUAGUUGGCGGCGGCGGCGGCGCGCGUGUGAAAAUAUUUAGGCUACGAAAGGUAUUUUUAUUCAGCCUUUUUUUCUCCCCUCACUCUUGCACGAGCAGCGAGCAUAUCUUUUAAUUUGCGCCUGCUCUUUUUUCGGUUUUUGUUUCUCGUUUAAAGUGUUAACUGGCGGCAUAUAAUUUCGGUCGGGUCGACUUGACAUACAUGGUAAUUAUAGUUAUUAAAUGUGAACCAGAGCCCAGGCACGUGCUUGAAAACUGUGAA